GCUUACGGCCAUACCAGCCUGGGUACGCCCGAUCUCGUCUGAUCUCGGAAGCUAAGCAGGGUAGGGCCUGGUUAGUACUUGGAUGGUAGACCGCCUGGGAAUACCAGGUGCUGUAAGGA
rnacentral:rRNA from 1 species